rnacentral:rRNA from 1 species
UACGGAGGGUGCGAGCGUUGUCCGGAAUCACUGGGCGUAAAGGGCGCGUAGGCGGCCUGAUAAGUAGGGGGUGAAAUCUUGCGGCUUAACCGCAAGGCUGCCUUCUAAACUGUCAGGCUAGAGCACAGUAGAGGCAGGUGGAAUUCCGGGUGUAGUGGUGGAAUGCGUUAGAGAUCCGGAGGAACACCAGCGGCGAAGGCGCCCACCUGGCCUGCUACUGACGCUGAAGCUCGAAAGCUAGGGGAGCAAACGGG